rnacentral:rRNA from 1 species
ACUGAACGCCGGCGGCAUGCCUUACGCAUGCAAGUCGAACGGUAACAGGUCUUCGGAUGCUGACGAGUGGCGAACGGGUGAGUAAUACAUCGGAACGUGCCUAGUAGUGGGGGAUAACUACUCGAAAGAGUGGCUAAUACCGCAUGAGAUCUACGGAUGAAAGCAGGGGAUCGCAAGACCUUGUGCUACUAGAGCGGCCGAUGGCAGAUUAGGUAGUUGGUGGGAUAAAAGCUUACCAAGCCGACGAUCUGUAGCUGGUCUGAGAGGACGAUCAGCCACACUGGGACUGAGACACGGCCCAGACUCCUACGGGAGGCAGCAGUGGGGAAUUUUGGACAAUGGGCGCAAGCCUGAUCCAGCAAUGCCGCGUGCAGGAUGAAGGCCUUCGGGUUGUAAACUGCUUUUGUACGGAACGAAAAGCCCUGGGUUAAUACCCUGGGGUCAUGACGGUACCGUAAGAAUAAGCACCGACUAACUACGUGCCAGCCGCCGCGGUAAUAC